UACGAAGGGGGCUAGCGUUGUUCGGAAUUACUGGGCGUAAAGCGCGCGCAGGUGGUCCUUCAAGUCAGGGGUGAAAGCCCAGAGCUCAACUCUGGAACUGCCCUUGAGACUGAGGGACUUGGGUACGGGAGAGGUGAGUGGAAUUCCGAGUGUAGAGGUGAAAUUCGUAGAUAUUCGGAAGAACACCAGUGGCGAAGGCGGCUCACUGGUCCGGUACUGACGCUGAGGUGCGAAAGCGUGGGGAGCAAACAGG
rnacentral:rRNA from 1 species